rnacentral:rRNA from 1 species
GUAAAUUUUUUAAAGCGAAUAAGGGCGUAUGGCGGAUGCCUAGGGUCUGAGAGGCGAUGAAGGACGUGGUAAGCUGCGAUAAGCAACGGAAAGC